CCUGGGACCAGCCUCCCUCUGGCUGCAGUUGCCUGUCACACCACCCAGUAAAUAUUUUAUUUGGGAAAUGUUCCAGUUAUUUAGCCAUGAUUUUGUGCCAAAAAAGCCAGCAUAUCCUCAUUGUGUUUGCUCAAGGUCUGGCUCUGGUGCCAUGGUGUUUUCCUUGCAGGCAAGGCCAGGUUGAGGUCAGACUGUCCUCUUAUGUCCCUUCUGUGAACAGUGCUGACCUUGCAGUUUGCUCUCAAGCCAUGUGAUUAGUGCCAUUGGAGAAGAAAUCUCCAGGAUGCUUAGUGUGACGGCACGUUCAAUGUCACAAUGUAAUGAUCUCUUAGAGGUUGGUUGCAGCAUUCCCUAUCUGUUCUGCUAGGCACUGUCUGCUCAUCUUCCAUUCCACUGCAUCUGGUGACCAACAGGCAGGCAAAACAGCCCUGGGCCAUUUUUCCUGAUGUCACCAACCACAAAAGCAGAUAAGAAAGAUUCCAAAUUGCUGUACAGCAGAGAAGACUGGUGAGCGUCAUGAGCCGUUUGGUUGUUUCCCUCUGCAGAAUGCCCUUUCACAGAACACAAAGCAUCCUUGCACCAAAUUCCUUUACCACAGCAAUCGCUGUCUGUCCUAGUGCCACAGUGACAAGGGCACCUUAGGUAUGUAUACAUAGAGAUGUAUGCCUUCCACCAUUAAGGCAGUCCCUAAAAUAGGGAAGGAGAAGGGCACUGAUGCUUUAUUUGUAUGAGACCACUCACAGAGGCAUCUCUGCUGCGACAUCUGGCUGCUUUGGGCUAAUGGGUCAGACAAGGCAUGAGCCUGCUCCUUGCCAUGUGUAAUCCCCAGUGCCUAGCCAUCAGGACACUGCAGACUGUUGGGUUCCAUUCAGGCAUAAUUCCAUCAUUACCAUUGAUUUGUUCUCUUACACUCUCUGUGGUGCUUUUAAUCAACUCUCCAUCUUUGUGCCUUCACACCUUCACGCUUUUCAUGAUUGGCUUUGCUACCUUCUGCCUCUGCUAUGAAAUAGUACCAAUGAAAAUCUGCCUGCAUCUUACGUACAUUAACUGUCCCAUUUCUUCUCUCUCUGGUCCAUUGAAGGGAUCUCCCUCUCCCACAAAGGCACCCCUGUCUCUGCACAGCGCUCAGGUGACUUUAAUCUGUAAUAUCAGCAAUAAUCACCAUGGUAUUGUUGCCUAGGCAUUCCUGAAGAGUCAGAAGUGGACUGUAAUUGAAGAGUUCAUUACCAAGAUCAGUUGGCUCCUUGAUUACAGUGGCAAGGUGAAAUAUAUAUCCUCACCAAAAAGCAACCGCUAAACCUUUAGAGAAGUCACCCACUUUUCACUCUUUUUCAUUAGGACCCCGACAAGCUUGUCAGCAAAAUUAAAGGUAUGUCAUUCACAUCGUGCAUGCAUUGCAAAGGACUAUAAACCUGCCAACCCCUUUGAUGAAAUAAAAGGGUUUUAUUUAUGAUUCA
rnacentral:lncRNA from 1 species